UAAGAGGCUGCGUUGGUGUCGACUGGAGUGUCUGAUAUUUACAACUUGAAUGUUUUAGGCGUUUAAAGAUACUGGCAAAGCACCUGUGGAACAAGAGGUAGCAAUUCACCGCAUUAGAAUUACUUUGACAAGUCGCAACGUCAAAUCACUGGAGAAAGUCUGUGCUGACUUGAUCAGAGGCGCUAAGGAAAAAAACC